rnacentral:rRNA from 1 species
UACGGGGGGGGCAAGCGUUGUUCGGAAUUACUGGGCGUAAAGGGCUCGUAGGCGGCCAACUAAGUCAGACGUGAAAUCCCUCGGCUUAACCGGGGAACUGCCUCUGAUACUGGAUGGCUUGAGUUCGGGAGAGGGAUGCGGAAUUCCAGGUGUAGCGGUGAAAUGCGUAGAUAUCUGGAGGAACACCGGUGGCGAAGGCGGUUCUCUGGGAAUGUCCUGACGCUGAGGAGCGAAAGUGUGGGGAGCGAACAGG